GGAGUUCUUGAAACCUUGAGACUGGAAAGAAUUGCAGAGAAAUCUGGAAAAAUUCUAUCUGGGAAGGACAGCCACAUUGUCUUAAAUGUGUUUAAGGUUUGCUGUGGAAUUUCGGAGAAUCAGGGAUGUACACUGCCACUGAUAAAGCUUCUCAGCUUCCCUGGAGAAGAAAUCCUGGCGAGGGGAUUUUUCCAGAAAAUAUGACUGUGACAGACAAUUUAUCCAGCAUUUAG